rnacentral:rRNA from 1 species
GACUACUGGGGUAUCUAAUCCUGUUUGCUCCCCACGCUUUCGCGUCUCAGCGUCAAUAUCGGUCCAGGCAGCCGCCUUCGCCACCGGUGUUCCUCCUGAUAUCUACGGAUUUCACUCCUACACCAGGAAUUCCACUGCCCUCUCCCGUAUUCAAGUCUCCCAGUUUCCAAUGCACUUCCCGGGUUGAGCCCAGGGCUUUCACAUCAGACUUAAAAAACCGCCUACACGCGCUUUACGCCCAAUAAUUCCGAACAACGCUCGCACCCUCCGUAUUACCGCGGCUGCUGGCACGGAGUUAGCCGGUGCUUCCUUUGAAGGUACCGUCAAGUGAAAUGGAUAUUAGCCACCCCACACUUCUUCCCCUCUGACAGAGCUUUACGACCCGAAGGCCUUCAUCACUCACGCGGCGUUGCUGCGUCAGGGUUUCCCCCAUUGCGCAAAAUUCCCCACUGCAGCCCCCCGUAGG